rnacentral:sRNA from 2 species
CUAACCUUAGCGCUAACUGACUUCGAACUUCACCAACAGCGGUUUUAUCAGCUGAGUUUAUUAUCGAUACCCUAGCAGUCCCCACUGGUUGGGCCUGGAGGCAAAUUGCUCCCGCGGAUCCCCAGCAGACUUUCACGAUCUGUCUCAAGGUUUCAGGCCAAUCUUGGGAACGCCAAAACGUCCAUCAAUGCUUCUCACAAACCUUAAAAGUCUAGAACAAAAAAAGGAGAGAGAAAAAGAAAAAAUAAAAGUAGAUCACAAGGAAUGAUCCCAGGCCAGGAUCGGAGAAGGGUAUUAUCCCAAUGUCGGAAAAAUGAAACCGAAAAGCAGCCCCAGGAGAACUUGAGCAGGUUGUGCAUCUGCCCUCAGUAG